AGUUACACCGUAUAGAAUUUUUUCAAAUGCAGUUUUUUUGUAAGUUUAUGAAACCACCUUUCCAGUCAUGUAUAGUUAUAUAUUGGCUUAUCGCUCGGUCAUGGUGAAAUUUGAGAUCAAAGAUUGCGAAUUCUAUAUAUAACAAAGAAGGAAAUUAAUUGGGCAUGUGUAACCUUUAAGAACUUCCGACCAAGUUAGUCGUCUUCCAGAAUGUUGACAAUUUACCAUCAAAAACUCUCUGUAUUGCAAAACAUAACUACCAGAUGUCAUUUUGACCCAAUUAAGGGCUGUUUGCAAUUGGGCUGUUGCACUUGGGGUCCUAAGGGGGGUAAAUGCUUGAAAAUCACUCCGAAACCUGUUCCGAAGACACAUUCUAAGACUACGUAAACACUCGGUAUUGUUUUUCAGUGACAUUUUGACAUUAAUUUGCAUCAAUCUCAAUAAUGAACCUAAUUCCUGUCUUUAUUUCAUCUGUAUUUAUUGCUAUUGUUUACUUUUAGCCUUUUACUAUUUAAAAUGUAAUGUGUGUUGUUUUUCCAUGCAAGCAAUUUUGGACCGACACUGCUAUCUGCCUUCGCUUUCAAUCCCGCCAGGCAGAUCUACUCAGAAUAACACUACUUUGCCUUAUUUUUCCUGUUUGGAUAUCUUGCUGAGUUCAAGUUAAAUCAAGUAUUCAGCUGAAAACACAAAAAGGAUAAUAAUAUUAUGCUUUCUUUCUUGGAACGAUGUUGUUGUGAUAGACCGUGCGUGAAAAACAGCAGGGAAUCUGUAUUUAAGUGACCUCAAUAUUAUACGUAAACCUAAAUGUACAUUUUUAGGUGGUGUCGGAAUUAGUCUAUAGCUCUGCCUGAACUGCUGUCCAAUUGGUUUACAAGUCCGGCUGAAGUGACAGGCCAUCAAAAACUGCACAGUAUGACUGAUUCGGAGACGGCCCUCAACACUCGCCCAGUCGUGUCGAGAGGAUCGGUGUCUUUGCAGAUUACACGGAAUUGAGCACCCGGGCCAGACUGACACUUUCCGGAGCCUGUCCGAGACGGAACUCGAGCCGAGGAAUCAUAGGUCCAGGUGUGACAGAAAACUUAAAGCUCAUGUCUGACGAUGACUUUUUUUGCGUCAGGAAGUAAAGUGUGUUGUUUUCCCAUGCAAGCAAGCCCUUUUGUUGGGUCAAAUGACAUCAGAAAUGCUGCUUCUACAUGGAUUUUACCUAAAAUGUGCCAAAAAAUAUAUAAAAAGUUUGUUCGGAUCUUGUUCAAAACCUGCUAUGAUGCACAUAUAAUGCCAUUGAUGAUUUGUUUUCACUUAUUAAGUCAUAUGUUACAUCUGCUAUGCUAUUAGAAUCGAAAGUGAUGCCUUGUAUGGAGUCUAAGUGCUGUCUGUAUGAUGUAACCAAGGUCGGCUUUUCUACCUUAAUUCUUGACGCGAAACGCUGUUACGCGUGACGCUUUCAACGUCAACUUUAAUGAAUAAAUCUGUGUGUCAUGGUA